rnacentral:miRNA from 1 species
UUGUGAUUAUCUGAUGGCAUG